AGUCAACCACUCCAAUUUCUCAUCUUCUGAGUGACACUCAUGUUUAUGAGUGUCUUCAAAAGGUAGCUGAAGUUAUGGAUAAAGAAGAUGACAUAAUAUGUGACGACUGGAGGCGUUUGUGGUCUGACCUACUUGAACGACAUUUAAAUGAAGAAAUGAAGACGAAGAUUCGAGAAACUGGAAGUCCAACUUUGUAUGUUUUGAAGAAAUGGAUGUGCAAGUCAGCAUCAGCAACUGUUGGUAAACUAAUCGAACGUCUCAGUUUUAUUUAUCGAAACGAUGUGGCAGAAAUUCUGAUGAAAUGCUUAAGUACAGGAGAGUGUGAGAUGAAGGGGGAGAGUGCCAUUGCAGCCAAUACAGACAGAUCACGAGAGGCUUCGAGUGCAUUUUGUGUAGAUUCAAGAGCUAGCCAGAUAGAACUCGACCUGUCAAACAGACAACAUUGUAAAGUGAGCAACAAAGAUCUCGUUAAAGUAGCACGUGCAGUGAGUGGAAAUUGGGAACAAUUCGCUGCCUGUCUUGAUCCAGACCUGUUUACUGUUUUGGAGAAAAAGAUAAUUAGACAGUCACACAGUGAACCUUUCAAUCAAUCUCAUGCAAUGUUAGAGAAAUGGUCAGACGAAUUGGACAAGAAAGCUACUAAUGUGUCACUGAUAGAGGUUUUGUUGGAGAACAACAUGAAAGCACAAGCCAACAAAAUAUUUGGGGAAUGUCUUGUAAAUUACGUGGAAAGCAAUCGCUCUGACUAGGCAGCUUGGUUUGGGCGAGUGGCACAUGACAAUCUGUCUCAGUCAGACUCAUAAAGGCUGGAGACCUAGCUACACGAGAAUACCCAAGCAGUUGCUUAUGCUGGAUUGAAGUAUUUCUCAACAGUAUGCAGUAGCAUCACUUCUAGGAUGAACUAAAGAUCUCCCCACCACCCUACACACGGGAUUGUAAUAAUUUAUGAUUUUUAUGCUGGACUUAGUAAAGAUAGUUAUUUGGUAAAUAAAAGGCAUUAGUCCUUCAGUCAAAGACCAGGUACUCGAUAUUCUGAAUUUGUGUCUCUGAAAGGAUGGAAUGGUUUGCCAGAAACCGUGUAUGUUAAUUAGAUCAGUAUCUGGUCAAUGUAGUCAGACUUUCAGAAACCCUACAUGAUUGGUAUCCUGCAAACAGUGAGUUUGCUCUUCUUUUGGAGUCUCAUAUGUACUUGGCACCUAAUACAAAAUUGCUAUAUUCUGAGCAACCAAAGAGUUUGGUUCAAUGCCUUCGACUCUGUCCAAUACAGUCAAUCUUUGCUAUUUCUCAUCUUCUGAGUGACACUCAUGUUCAUGAAUGUCUUCAAAAGGUAGCUGAAGUUAUGGAUAAAGAAGAUGACAUAAUAUGUGACGACUGGAGGAGUUUGUGGUGUGACCUACUUGAACGACCUUUAAGUGAAGAAAUGAAGACAAAGAUUCGACAAACUGCAAUACCAGUCCAACUCACUUUGUUCUGAAGAAAUGGAUGUGCAAGUCGACAUCAGCAACUGCUGCUAAACUAAUAGACUCAGUGCUAUUUAUUGAAAUGAUGUGGCAGAAAUUCUGAUGAAAUAGUUAAAUGAAAGAGAAUUUGAGAUGACGAUAGUCAGUGCAGGCAACACAGACAGACAGUCAUCAAGUUCAUUCUGUGCAGAGUCGAGGGACAGUCAGAUAAAUCUCGAGCUGUCAACUAAACAACAUAGCAAGUUGACAUCAGAUGAUCUGGUCGCUGUGGCAAGUGCAGUGGACGUAAACUGGGAGGAGCUCGCCGCCAGACUAGCACCAGUCAUGUUUAGUAUCAUAAAGACGGAACAGAUUAAAGCUCAGUAUGGUAAACCUUUUGUUCAGUCUCGUUCAAUGUUGGAGGAAUGGGCGAACGGAUUGGACAAGGAGGCUACCAAAGGGUCACUGAUUAAAGCUCUAUUGAAGAUGAACAUGAGACGACAAGCCAAUGAAAUAUUUGGAGAAGAUCUCGUGACGUAUGUGGAAACAAAUGGCUCAUGAGAGAGUCAGAUAUGUUGAGUUACUCACCAUCUCAUAUCAUGUGUCUCUUGCAGCACAUGUACAGUCUCUUGGGAGAGAUACAUGUAUACGAAACUGGUGCAACAUCGCAUAUUGCGAACUCAUGCAGAGAGUCGCUUGUGUGUAUAAUGUGAUGACCGAUCGCGAGCAUGUGGAUAUCUACGCAGAGUCAGUGCUUGCAAACGGCCUGUGUAUAGGACCACUGAUGAACAGCAAGCAUUGGAUGCUGUCAAGAGAGUGAGAGAUCACAUCAGACUUGGUAUCCAGAUUUCGAGUGAAGACGACGGAGUUUGGAUCUACAAUCAGAGCGACUACUCGAUCUUUGCUCAGAGCCCGACUUUGGACUAUAUGUUGAAGGGCCGACUUCCUGCAGUCAAUAAAGUCCA